UGCAGUCGAACGGCAGCACAGAGGAGCUUGCUCCUUGGGUGGCGAGUGGCGGACGGGUGAGGAAUACAUCGGAAUCUACUUUUUCGUGGGGGAUAACGUAGGGAAACUUACGCUAAUACCGCAUACGACCUACGGGUGAAAGCAGGGGACCUUCGGGCCUUGCGCGAUUGAAUGAGCCGAUGUCGGAUUAGCUAGUUGGCGGGGUAAAGGCCCACCAAGGCGACGAUCCGUAGCUGGUCUGAGAGGAUGAUCAGCCACACUGGAACUGAGACACGGUCCAGACUCCUACGGGAGGCAGCAGUGGGGAAUAUUGGACAAUGGGCGCAAGCCUGAUCCAGCCAUACCGCGUGGGUGAAGAAGGCCUUCGGGUUGUAAAGCCCUUUUGUUGGGAAAGAAAUCCAGCUGGCUAAUACCCGGUUGGGAUGACGGUACCCAAAGAAUAAGCACCGGCUAACUUCGUGCCAGCAGCCGCGGUAAUACGAAGGGUGCAAGCGUUACUCGGAAUUACUGGGCGUAAAGCGUGCGUAGGUGGUCGUUUAAGUCCGUUGUGAAAGCCCUGGGCUCAACCUGGGAACUGCAGUGGAUACUGGGCGACUAGAGUGUGGUAGAGGGUAGCGGAAUUCCUGGUGUAGCAGUGAAAUGCGUAGAGAUCAAGAGGAACAUCCAUGGCGAAGGCAGCUACCUGGACCAACACUGACACUGAGGCACGAAAGCGUGGGGAGCAAACAGAUUAGAUACCCUGGUAGUCCACGCCCUAAACGAUGCGAACUGGAUGUUGGGUGCAAUUUGGCACGCAGUAUCGAAGCUAACGCGUUAAGUUCGCCGCCUGGGGAGUACGUCGCAAGACUGAAACUCAAGGAAUUGACGGGGCCCGCACAAGCAGUGGAGUAUGUGGUUUAAUUCGAUGCAACGCGA
rnacentral:rRNA from 1 species